UACGUAGGGUGCGAGCGUUGUCCGGAAUUAUUGGGCGUAAAGAGCUCGUAGGCGGUUUGUUGCGUCGGCUGUGAAAUCCCGAGGCUCAACCUCGGGUCUGCAGUCGAUACGAGCAAACUAGAGUGUUGCAGGGGAGACUGGAAUUCCUGGUGUAGCGGUGAAAUGCGCAGAUAUCAGGAGGAACACCGGUGGCGAAGGCGGGUCUCUGGACAGUUCCUGACACUGAGGCACGAAGGCCAGGGGAGCAAACGGG
rnacentral:rRNA from 1 species